GGAGGAAAGGAAAAGGAGAGAGCGAGAGGGAGAGAGUGAGCGAGUGAGUGAGGCCGAAAUCCAUUGCAUUCCCAGUUUCCUUCAAGCCGCUCGCGCGUUCGCUCCGGUAUACGUGGAGAGGAUCCGACGUCGCGUUUUCUCGUUCAUCCCGCCGCUUGUUUUUUUUUUCUCCUCCCGUCAAAUCGUUCGUGUUGUUUCCCCCCUCCCUUUAAACAAACCGACACAUAACCUCGUGCGGAAAGAAGAGCCGGAUAAUCGUGCCGUUUUUGUUAAACGAGAGUCUGUCUAACACGCAGCUGUGUGUAAAAGAUAGUAGAGAAGCUUUGUAAGAGAAAAGCUGACCGGGGAUUCUCGUCCGGGUUGAGAAUAAAGCGCUGAAUAAAAAAAAAAAAAAAAAAAUUGAAAAAAAAACGCCAAAAGACGGGAUCGAAGGAGGAGAGGAGGCGAGAAGACUUAAAUGAAUCGUGGGGUGUGAAAAAGAAACAGUUAUUAUCAAGGCGAAAAAUCCCGGUGUACAUAUAUUGAUAAUAAAAUUAAAUUAAUACCAAAUAGAAAUAAUAAUAAUAUUAAUAAUUAAAAUAAUAAAAUAAUAACGAAUCAAAUACAUAAUCGUUUCGGUGCGAGUGUAACAGCAGACGGAUCGUUAUCAAGCCCGACAAGCGAAUGUAAUAUACAAUACAUUCGCCGGUGUGUUGAAAAGUAAGAAUAAACGAAUUAGGAAGAAAAAUAUUUCGAGUCUCGUGGAAAACCCGAGGAUUUCAGGAUGGCGUUCAACGGGGACGGACCACACUCGAAGAGACAGCGGCUCGAGGAGUCCGGUCACAGGAAUCACGAGUACAGCGGCUACGGCGAGGAGCCCCGACGCAAGAGGGAAGACAAUAACAAGCCGAAUCACGUGCUCUUGUUCACGAUUAUAAAUCCGGUCUACCCAAUCACUGUGAACGUAUUGCACACUAUCAGUGCACCCAGUGGACAGGUACAACGAAUCGUCAUAUUCAAGAAAAAUGGAGUCCAGGCCAUGGUCGAGUUCGACUCGGUGGACUCGGCAACUCGGGCAAAAGAAGCACUCCACGGAAUGGACAUUUACUCGGGGUGUUGCACACUCAAGAUCGACUUUGCCAAGCCUACGAAGCUGAACGUCUACAAGAACGAUGCAGAGAGUUGGGACUACACGACACCCGUCCUGAGCUCGAGCGCACACAAAAAUGACACUACCGGGAAUGGGAGACCGGCUCCACUGUUGGCCGAGCCCCGAUACGGAGCUGCUCCCCAGCCCUACGGAUCAACUCCACAAGUAGGAUUCCCUCCGGGCGCCGGUCACGAUCGUUACGAGGAGAAUUUUAACGGACCGACGACUUACGCGGAACCGUACGUCGAAAGAUAUGGGAUUAAGAGCGACUUCACCGGUCGCGAGCCACUACAUCCAACCCCUCCGAGACCGGGUUACGUGCCGACUCUCGGUCAAACACCACCAUCGAGUACACAAGGCUCGGUCAUGAUGGUAUACGGCCUCCAGCCCGACAAAGUCAACACCGACAAGCUCUUCAACUUGUUCUGUCUUUACGGCAAUGUCACCAAGGUCAAAUUCUUGAAGACGAAAGAAGGCUGCGCCAUGAUUCAAAUGGGCGAUGGUAUCGCGGUCGAGAGAUGUUUGCAAAACUUGAACAACGUCACGAUCGGCACCGAGGGCAAAUUACAGUUGGGCUUCUCGAAACAGGCGUUCCUCGCUGAUGUGACAAAUCCAUACAUACUACCGGACAAAACAGCGAGUUUCAAAGACUUCACCGGCAGCAAGAACAACAGGUUCCUCAACCCGGCGAUGGCAAACAAAAACAGAAUACAGCCGCCCUCGAAGAUUGUACACUUUUUCAACACGCCACCGGAUCUAACCGAGGACACCGUCAAUCGUGUUUUCGUUGAACGUGGAAUCGAGGCACCAACGACCGUCAAACUUUUUCCCCUCAAGUCUGAGAGAUCUUCGUCCGGACUCAUCGAAUUCAGUAGCGUUGGUAUCGCCGUCGAAGCCAUCAUGGAGUGCAAUCACACUGCUCUUGAAAACAGCAGUGGCUUCGUUUCAGACGGCAAAUUCCCGUACAUCAUGAAGCUGUGCUUCUCGUCGUCGCGCACCAUACCAGCGAAUUUUCCACCGAGCAGCGGCAGCGGUUCAACGAGUAAUUCCGCCGGUAACGGCCACGCGAAAAUGCAACAGGAUUCGGAAUAGAACGGCGAGGUCCAGGGCCAGCGUCAUCGUCAGCGUUCAUCAAUCGCUCUGCACACAUUAUGCGCCGCGACAACUGGAACUGGCAAUUCAACGUCAACGGGAAUGCAUCCAGCGGCUGUUGCAGCUGCAGCAGCGGCAGCGGCGAUAGCACUGUCCCCGGUAUUACCUCCCGUGCCUCCACCUUUACCACCCGCCUGUCUCCUUAUCGCCGGACCGGCGUUAUAUCCGACCGUACCUCCACCACCGCCACCACCGCCGCUAUCAACAUUCUGGCCCUAUUGACGAUAAAGUUGUAUUAUCGUCGGAACACACAUACACACACACGCGCACGAGCACAUGAGUGUACUCCGGAGAGAUGUGUCUUCGUGGUGAACCGACGAGAUAAACAGAAAAGGAAAUAUUAAGAAAAAACAAAAAAUAACGACGACUAUAAUAAUAAUAAUAAUAAUAAUAUAAAAAUGAGAAUAAGGAGAAUGAAAUGGUGAAGAGAAACACCACGAGCUACCAGGAACCUACAUGUGACAGGGGAGAUAAGAGAAAAGGAGGAAGAGGAGAAAGGUACAAGGGCGGAAAUGGCGAACGAUUUAACGAGAGGACCAAAAAGCAUCGUGAGCAAAAAAAUAAGAAAGAAACAAAAAGCAUACUAAAUAAAUAAACCACCGUCGUUAUCAAACUCCACUUCACAGCUCCUCGAAGGAAACACGAGAAAUAAAUUUAGACAGUGGCUCAACAUCGGGCUGAACUUGGGAAACGUUUAUCUUUUCCUCGCACGCGCGACCUUCUCGUUUCAUCAUUGCGAAUACAUAUCAGAUGAAAUAUGAAACAAUAAGUAACGAGUCUUUUUAUUGGUAUCGAUGAAGGGGGAGAGAGAGAAAGCGAGAGAGAGGAAGGAAAUAAUUGAUGCUUGGAGAUGAUGAGUGGUAUUAAAAAACGAAGAUACGAUUACAAUUGGGAUCUCGCAUUGCGCUAACGAGCGAAGAAUACGAUUAUUGUGAGGAAACAAUUGAGGAGGAAGGACCGGAUAAUCAAGUAUGUUUUAUUGGACCAAAUCACUCAUUUUUUCGAGUCCUCUUACACACACACACACACACAGACACACACACACACAUGCACACAUACACGAAAACACGAAAGGGUCUCUCUCUGUAUCCGAUAAACGAAAGGAAAUGAUGCCGAGGCAUAUUUUCGCAAGCUGUUUAUAUAUUUUUCGACUAACUACUGCGAGGCCAAAGAUAUAUGCGCGACAAGUUUCGCGACGAGCUUAUCCGCGGAUGCUUUUAUUCAUCUUUUAAUCUGCCAUUUUUUGUCACAAGUUCUUCUUCAUCGUACCUCGUUAAUUAGUCGCUGAGGUAGCGUGAUUGAGCGACUCGCAACUCCGAGAGCAAAAGAAAAUGAAGAAGCCAUCGAAACUUGGACUCCUCCGUAGGCACUUUUUUUCGCUGCUUUCGAACUUGACGAAAAACUUUCAGCACUAAAGAAGUUGACAGAAGCUCUGUGCCAAAGCUUGUCGCGAUUCAUUAUCUUCAUUAACGUGAGAAAAUAACCGGACAGAAGUAUGAAAACAAAAUAUUUUCUCAAACGCUACUUGUAAGAACAGUAAUGAGAAGAGCAAAAAAAAAACAACAAUGAAACAAAAUUAAGAGUCAUCGUUUAUCCAAUUUCCCUCUCUUUUCCGGGUGUCCCUUCUUAUUCACAAUUAAUAUUUCUAGGAGCUGUUAGUGUUCAGGGUUUUGCGACGAAUUGAGAGCUGUCUGAUCGGAUCGAGAACUGUGAAUUGAAUUUUAUAUAAGCAAAAAAAAAAUAAGAAAAAAAUUAAAAUAAAAUAAAAAACAAACAAUUAACAAAGAGAACAAAAGAAAACUAAUGACAUUGACGAAACAAUAUAUUAGUGUCUCUCGGCAAUAUUUUGUCGGGCCGAGGGAUGUUUUUAUAAAAAAGGUUUUAGAUCUCCGAAGAUUAAAAGCAACAAACAAACAAACAAACAAACACACACACACUCACACACACACAUCCACUCACUCUCACACAUGAAUAUGAGCAUACAACUAAUAAUUUCGAAGCGAACCAAAUGACUACUUAUAAAUAUAGACUUGACAACUCGGCCAUACGUAAAGUGUAAGAUAUAUAGAGGAAAAAAGAAAAAAUAAACAAACGAGGGCAUUAUAACCCUACGAACCGCGUGAGAACAAUAUA
rnacentral:misc_RNA from 1 species